rnacentral:rRNA from 1 species
GAUGAACGCUGGCGGCGUGCCUAAUACAUGCAAGUCGAGCGAACGGACGAGAAGCUUGCUUCUCUUAUGUUAGCGGCGGACGGGUGAGUAACACGUGGAUAACCUACCUAUAAGACUGGGAUAACUUCGGGAAACCGGAGCUAAUACCGGAUGAUAUUUUGAACCGCAUGGUUCAAAAGUGAAAGACGGUCUUGCUGUCACUUAUAGAUGUAUCCGCGCUGCAUUAGCUAGUUGGUAAGGUAACGGCCUACCAAGGCAACGAUGCAUAGCCGACCUGAGAGGGUGAUCGGCCACACUGGAACUGAGACACGGUCCAGACUCCUACGGGAGGCAGCAGUAGGGAAUCUUCCGCAAUGGGCGAAAGCCUGACGGAGCAACGCCGCGUGAGUGAUGAAGGUCUUCGGAUCGUAAAGCUCUGUUAUUAGGGAAGAACAUAUGUGUAAGUAACUGUGCACAUCUUGACGGUACCUAAUCAGAAAGCAACGGCUAACUACGUG